GGUCCUGCUCACAUGGGAAAUGCCCUGUGAGAGUCACGGACAUCCUGUGCAAGAACAUGAAGCACCUGUGGUUCUUCCUCCUCCUGGUAGCAGCUCCCAGAUGGGUCCUGUCCCAGGUGCAGCUGCAGGAGUCAGGCCCAGGACUGGUGAAGCCUUCGGAGACCCUGUCCCUCACCUGCGCUGUCUCUGGUGGUUCCAUCAGCAGUAACUACUGGAGCUGGAUCCGCCAGCCCCCAGGGAAGGGACUGGAGUGGAUUGGGUAUAUCUAUGGUAGUGGUGGGAGCACCAACUACAACCCCUCCCUCAAGAGUCGUGUCACCAUGUCAGUAGACACGUCCAAGAACCAGUUCUCCCUGAAGCUGAGCUCUGUGACCGCCGCGGACACGGCCGUGUAUUACUGUGCGAGAGACACAGUGAGGGGAGCUCAAGAUUCCUGAAGACAGAGCCGAUGUGAUGUACUCAUAGGUAGAUCUCUGCUCCAUCUAUGAGGAGGUGGCCUUGGUCU